CCUACGGGCGGCAGCAGUGGGGAAUAUUGCACAAUGGGCGCAAGCCUGAUGCAGCCAUGCCGCGUGUGUGAAGAAGGCCUUCGGGUUGUAAAGCACUUUCAGCGGGGAGGAAGGCGGUGAGGUUAAUAACCUCAUCGAUUGACGUUACCCGCAGAAGAAGCACCGGCUAACUCCGUGCCAGCAGCCGCGGUAAUACGGAGGGUGCAAGCGUUAAUCGGAAUUACUGGGCGUAAAGCGCACGCAGGCGGUCUGUCAAGUCGGAUGUGAAAUCCCCGGGCUCAACCUGGGAACUGCAUUCGAAACUGGCAGGCUAGAGGCUUGUAGAGGGGGGUAGAAUUCCAGGUGUAGCGGUGAAAUGCGUAGAGAUCUGGAGGAAUACCGGUGGCGAAGGCGGCCCCCUGGACAAAGACUGACGCUCAGGUGCGAAAGCGUGGGGAGCAAACAGGAUUAGAUACCCGGGUAGUC
rnacentral:rRNA from 1 species